rnacentral:lncRNA from 1 species
GCUCUUCUGGCAAAAGGCUGUGGUCGGCUAACCCUGAGGUUUCUAGGAUAACGAGAGCACUCCCUUUAAUCGCUUCACGAAGACACCCUCAAACUCUAGCGUACUCUGCAGUUAGCACCUCAAUCAGACCCAGAGCUCUGUCCGCGAGCCACAGGAUACAGUCAGAGCUCUAGUUGGGCUCAUCUGGCGAUGCCACUUAACAGACUUAAAGCAAGUGGGUAAAAAUAAAGCGGUACAGAGCAGGGGCAAAAGCCAAGGAAUCUCCAGUGCAAGUUCAAGUUAGCCAAGUUUUGUCUUCCUCCCGACUCACUCUUAGGGUGGCCGGGAGUGGGGGUCCUGGAGUAGCACCGACACCGCCUCCCGACCUCCCUCAGGAACUCCGAAGGGAAGGGUGACACUUUCAGGGCGCGCUUCCUUAAGACAGCCCAGACGUUCACCCCGUCCCAUCUCGCGCCACACUCCCGGCCGCAGAAAACAGCACAAGGACAAGAACCGCAACGGCUCAGGGGAUCGUCAUCUUCUCCUGACUGCCAUCACCCCGGGAGUCUCCAUCCCUGCGCACACCGGAGUUCGCAGACGUUUCCUGUAUUUGACCGAGCGAGUUUAGCUUGGGGAGAUGGAGCAAGAACUCUGAUUGCCAACCCCACAAGACUUCAAGGAAUGGCAAGAGGAAGUUGUACAAGUAAACAGCAAGGCUGCUAUCUUCUAUCAUCAAUAGAGAGGAAGGGAUGCUGGUCAGACAAAAGAAAUAAAUGUCUCCUUCAGAAAGUCAUUCUUUUCAUUCUAAGUACUUGUUUUGAAUUCACUUUCUUUACCUCAGCUUGUAUUUGUACAUUCAUUAAAUUAUCAAAGAUAUUCUGGUUGUGGUACAACAAAAAGCACAAAUCAGGACACUGGCAAAGCAGAAAUAACAAAAGUAUGCUCUUGUAGAUAAUGUAAUUUAUGAUUUACUAAUACCACUUGGUUUGCAUGAACCUAAUUACCUAGAACUAAGGUACAGAAAAACUGACUACAUUUUUUAAAGGGAAGAAUUUAUGAGCUUCCUAGAUCUAUUAAACUGAGGAGAGUCAGGUCCAGCUAUGACAAUCAGUAAAACUCCCUAUUGCAACAAUGAUCAUUCAUCAUUGAUUUGGUUGGGAUAAACUAUGGGAGGGGGCUAACCUAGGAGAAAAAAUUUAGCAUAGUUGGUAAUUCCACCUGGGCCAGCCAUGGCUAUAUUUCCUGUGAUUCCAGAUGGAGCCAAAAACACAUGGCUUGUACUUCACUUUUUUGAAUUGACAGUAAUAUAGUCAAAUGUACCUAGUUAAGAUUAAUCUUAUUCAUAUUGGAAAUGUACUCAUGCAGGCACUAUGCAGAAAAACAGCUUAUAGUAUUCACUGUUUUACUUUCCAAUACAAAUGAGUCUCCCCAUCCUUCAUCACUUUAUUUUUCUCCCCUUCUUCCCACUUCAUAUCUCCUCUUCUGAGGAUGGCCUGAUUGUCUAGAGUGAGUCAUUAAAGUCCUGUGGCAGUU